ensembl:lncRNA
UUUCAGCUUGAAACUCCACAGAGAAGAAAUGGAGCAGCUCAGGAGAGAGGCGGACAUUCUCAAAAACAAACUCAUCCGGCAGGAGGAAGAUAUGUUCCAGCUCCAGUCAGAGGCCAGAGAAACAAGGAGACAGUAUGAACACAGCUCUAAAACGUUAGAGUUUCACAGACUCGUACCGCACACACAGUUUUGAACUCGCUCGGAUGGUGUCACAGUACCAGCACACUCAACAGAAAGUGCCUGACCUCAGAGUCACUGUGUCAGAGCUGAAGGAUGAGGUGUGUGGUCUCGUCCUGAGAGAAACCCUCUCCACACCUGCACAGGUACCACAGAAACCAGAGCCAUCAAAUAGGUGGAGGCACCAGUGUGUCCGUUUAAAAUCAGACCUGACAGGAAAUGACCUCAGCGAUGCUGGAAGUGGGCUUAAUAGUAACCUUGACAAUAAUGCUGAAGGUGUGGAGAGAGUUUCAGACAGCCCUCCAGAUCUCAGUCUCAGUGACCUCUGA